CGUGUAGGCGGGACAGUAAGUCUAUCUUAAAAGUGCGGGGCUCAACCCCGUGAGGGGAUAGAAACUGCUAUUCUUGAGUGUCGGAGAGGAAAGUGGAAUUCCCAGUGUAGCGGUGAAAUGCGUAGAUAUUGGGAGGAACACCAGUGGCGAAGGCGACUUUCUGGACGAUAACUGACGCUGAGGCGCGAAAGCCAGGGGAGGUGAACG
rnacentral:rRNA from 1 species